AGCGAACGCUGGCGGCAGGCUUAACACAUGCAAGUCGAGCGGGCAUCUUCGGGUGUCAGCGGCGGACGGGUGAGUAACGCGUGGGAACGUGCCUUCCGGUUCGGAAUAACUCAGGGAAACUUGAGCUAAUACCGGAUACGCCCUUUUGGGGAAAGGUUUACUGCCGGAAGAUCGGCCCGCGUCUGAUUAGCUAGUUGGUGGGGUAACGGCCUACCAAGGCGACGAUCAGUAGCUGGUCUGAGAGGAUGAUCAGCCACACUGGGACUGAGACACGGCCCAGACUGCUACGGGAGGCAGCAGUGGGGAAUAUGGGACAAUGGGGGCAACCCUGAUCCAGCCAUGCCGCGUGAGUGAUGAAGGCCUUAGGGUUGUAAAGCUCUUUUAUCCGGGACGAUAAUGACGGUACCGGAGGAAUAAGCCCCGGCUAACUUCGUGCCAGCCGCCGCGGUAA
rnacentral:rRNA from 1 species